rnacentral:rRNA from 1 species
CAGUCGCCGCGGGAAUACGUAGGGUGCAAGCGUUAAUCGGAAUUACUGGGCGUAAAGCGUGCGCAGGCGGUUAUAUAAGACAGAUGUGAAAUCCCCGGGCUCAACCUGGGAACUGCAUUUGUGACUGUAUAGCUAGAGUACGGCAGAGGGGGAUGGAAUUCCGCGUGUAGCAGUGAAAUGCGUAGAUAUGCGGAGGAACACCGAUGGCGAAGGCAAUCCCCUGGGCCUGUACUGACGCUCAUGCACGAAAGCGUGGGGAGCAAACAGGAUUAGAUACCCGUGUAGUCCCUGUCUCUUAUAC